rnacentral:rRNA from 1 species
UACGUAGGGACCGAGCGUUGUCCGGAUUCAUUGGGCGUAAAGAGCUCGUAGGCGGCUGUUCAAGUCGAACGUGAAAACUCGGGGCUCAACUCCGAGCCUGCGUUCGAUACUGGACGGCUAGAGUCUGGUAGGGGGAUCUGGAAUUCCUGGUGUAGCGGUGGAAUGCGCAGAUAUCAGGAGGAACACCGGUGGCGAAGGCGGGUCUCUGGGCAGUAACUGACGCUGAGGAGCGAAAGCGUGGGGAGCGAACAGG